rnacentral:rRNA from 1 species
UACGAAGGGGGCUAUCGUUGUUCGGAAUUACUGGGCGUAAAGCGCACGUAGGCGGGUUGUUAAGUCAGGGGUGAAAUCCCGGAGCUCAACUCCGGAACUGCCUUUGAUACUGGCAACCUAGAGACUGGAAGAGGUUAGUGGAAUUCCCAGUGUAGAGGUGAAAUUCGUAGAUAUUGGGAAGAACACCAGUGGCGAAGGCGGCUAACUGGUCCAGUACUGACGCUGAGGUGCGAAAGCGUGGGGAGAAAACAGG